rnacentral:rRNA from 1 species
AUUGAACGCUGGCGGCAGGCCUAACACAUGCAAUUCGAACGAGUGGCGGACGGGUGAGUAAUUUCUGGGAAACUGCCUGAUGGAGGGGGCUAACUACUGUAAACGGUAGCUAAUCCCGCAUACCAUCAGAUGUGCCCAGAUGGGAUUAGCUAGUUGGUGGGGGAACGGCUCCCCAAGGCGACGCUCCCUAGCUGGUCUGAGAGGAUGACCAGCCACACUGGAACUGAGACACGGUCCAGACUCCUACGGGAGGCAGCAGUGGGGAAUAUUGCACAAUGGGCGAAAGCCUGAUGCAGCCAGGCCGCGUGUAUGAAGAAGGCCUUCGGGUUGUAAAGUACUGUCAGCGGGGAGGCGUUACCCGAAGAAGAAGCACCGGCUAACUCCGUGCCAGUCGCCGCGGUAAUAC